AUUCGCCCUUGUGCCAAGCAGCCGCGGUAAUUCCAGCUCCAAUAGCGUAUAUUAAAAUUGUUGCAGUUAAAAAGCUCCUAGUGGAUGUUAUACUACUUUUACACCAUUAACAAAUACUAUUGCUCAAGGAUCUUACUUUUCCUUAAUGGGAUGUCUGAAUAAGGUUUUUUUACUAAAACAAUGAGUGAUAGGAGAAGUGGGCGUUGCAGGUAUUCCGCAAGGAGAGGUGAAAUUCAGUGAUUUGCGGAGGACCAACUAAAGCGAAAGCAUGCAACAGUGCUUUUUUCGUUCAUCAAGAACUAAAGUCAAGGGAUCGAAGACGAUCAGAUACCGUCGUAGUCUUGACCAUAAACUAUGCCGACAAGACUGGUGUAUCUCAGAUUUUUCAAAGAUAUGCCAGUUAAAGAGAAAUCAAAGUCAUUGGGCUCUGGGGGGAGUAUGGUCGCAAGGCUGAAACUUAAAGGAAUUGACGGAAGGGCACACCAGGAGUGGAGCCUGCGGCUCAAUUCGACUCAACACGGGAAAACUUACCAGGUCCGGACAAGAAAAGGAUUGACAGAUUGAUAGCUCUUUCAUGAUUGCUUGGGUAGUGGUGCAUGGCCGUUCUUAGUUCGUGGAUUGAUUUGUCUGGUUUAUUCCGCUAACGAACAAGGUGUUAAAAAUGCAAAUAGUUACAUUAGUAGCUAGAUGCUCCAAAAUUAUGGUCGCAAGACUGAUG
rnacentral:rRNA from 1 species